UACGGGGGGGGCAAGCGUUGUUCGGAAUUACUGGGCGUAAAGGGCUCGUAGGCGGCCAACUAAGUCAGACGUGAAAUCCCCAGGCUCAACCUGGGAACUGCAUCCGAUACUGGAUGGCUUGAAUCCGGGAGAGGGAUGCAGAAUUCCAGGUGUAGCGGUGAAAUGCGUAGAUAUCUGGAGGAAUACCGGUGGCGAAGGCGGCAUCCUGGACCGGCAUUGACGCUGAGGAGCGAAAGCCAGGGGAGCAAACGGG
rnacentral:rRNA from 1 species